CAAACAGAAAGAAGAAAAGGAAAAGAAAUACCACUGCACCACCGAAUAUUUAGAUAAUCGUCACAAUAAUUAAAGUCGUCUUUGCUUAAACAGCAUAAUUCAUCAUCUUUUUCUUUUCGUUUCUUUGACUAUUUACAGGCUUCUUUCUUCUAUUUUGAAUCCCGAUCACGGAGCUUUCUUCAUCUCUUUCUCUGAUAAUCCGGGACAAUGUCUUUUAUGCGAAAUUACCGGCCACAAGGAGAUGGCUACCAAGAUAGCCGGUGGUCCUCUUCCAAUAGAAAUAACUUCAUCAAUAAUAGUAACAGGAACAAAAGUUGGAAUUAUAAUCAUGUUCAAAACUAUAAUGGUUUCCAGGACUACUCUGGGAGAUACUGGGAACGUUUUAAUAAUUUUAAUUAUGUUCAACCAGACAAUGCACCAUCAUACAAGAGGAGAAAAUUUUCAGCUUCAUCUUGGGCAGAUAGCACAAUGAACUAUUUGCCACAGCCCAAGCGAUAUGAGAGUGCUGCACCUUCAGUCUAUAACUAUUUGGUUCCGCCUGCUUUGAAAUCUAACACUGAGGUAUCUACAUCAACAAGUUGUAAACGUGACCGCUCAAAAUUGGAUGAUGAAGAACCAGUGUUCAUGUCAAGGGAUGAAAUUGAGAGACACUCACCUUCAAGAAAAGACGGUAUUGAUGCAGUACGUGAAACACAUUUACGGUAUUCAUAUUGCGGGUUCAUUCAGCAGCUUGGAAACCAGCUUGACUUACCACAGACCACUAUUGGCACUGCCAUGGUUUUAUGUCACCGGUUUUUUGUCCGCCGAUCACAUGCCUGCCAUGAUAGAUUUUUGAUUGCUACUGCUGCUCUCUUUCUUGCUGCAAAGUCUGAAGAGACACCUCGUCCUCUAAAUGAUGUUGUGAAAGCUUCUUCGGAAAUUUACCAUAAGCAGGAUAUUACUCUGUUGUCUUAUCUGCUUCCUGUUGACUGGUUUGAGCAGUAUCGGGAGCGAGUGACUGAGGCUGAGCAAAUGAUACUGACCACUCUAAAUUUUGAACUAAAUGUGCAACAUCCAUAUGGUCCUCUGACAUCCAUUCUUAACAAAUUAGGUCUUUCGCAAACUGUUUUGGUGAAUGUGGCAUUAAACCUUGUUAGUGAAGGGUACCUGUUUGGUAUGGAUUAUUUUGUAGUUGGCUGGAGUAUUUCAACUAGGAACCUAAUUUAGGAACAAGGAAGUGAUCUUGCAUCUUGAUUGUGUAUAUCUUAUAUAUAUGGGCUAGUGGGUGUUUCAGAUCACAACCAGUUAGCCGACUGAGAUUUCGGGUAGUAUGGGCUUGGAGGAUACACUUCCACUCUUUUAUGGUUAAACUGUGUGCUAAUUGUGUCAAUCAUUUUCUUCUUCAGAGCUGCAACUCUGCAUAGUUAUUCUGGCAUGGGAUAUUGAUUCUUUUGGCAUGACACAAUAUUGCAGGGGCUACACAUGAUUAGCUUGCUCACGUGUUUGAAUACUGUUAGCUGGCGGAUUGAUGUGCUGUUCAUGGAAAGUUUUGUUUUUAAGGUUGAAGUUGACCUGCUGAUGUAUUGUUGAUCACUUUAAGCGGCAUAGCCUAUAAACUUGGUCUGGGAUAGUAAAGAAAACCGCAUAAACUCUGAUGCCAGCCAAAUUUUACUUUUAAAUUCUUCUUUUUUUGAAGUCUCACUUUUAUUUUAAAAAAAACUCUUAUCUGGUAUUUUUACAAACUCAAGAUUUUGAACUCCAGCAACUUCUCCUCGUGCUGUUUAUUCUCAUUGAUAUAUACCAAAACCAUUGAUUUAAAGGAGACUAAUAUUCAUAUAUUAUGUUCUUGCCCACAAUUGUUUUAAGGGUCUGCAGUUUUUUUAUAUAUUAAUUUACAAUCGUACUAUAGUUUCAUUUCUGUUAAACUUUUUUGGAGAAAUUAGUGUUACAAAAUUUUCAAAAUAUUACUGGGUUUUUUAAAUGAAAAUUCUUGUUGUGUGUGUAUAUAUAUAUGAUAAAAUUUUUUUCAACUCUGUACAGGGCUACUACUCUGUUUUUGGUAUCUGCUUAAUAGCCCAGAUAGUAUUUGUGUAUGAUAGUUUAGCCCAAAAUACUGUGUAUUUUUUGCUUAAUUUGCUUUUUUUUUUCUUCAAAAAACCUUAUAUAGCACAUGAAAGAACAAUGUUCUGAAAUAGCAGAGGGUGGGAAAGAUAAAAAAAUGAAGGAUAAGGCAUCUUUGAUGAGAGAAAGAGAAAGAGGGAAAAAAAGCAGGGCCUUGUAACUAAUAAAAAUAAUUUAUUGAAAAUCUUUCAUCAAUUUUGCUGUGGGAAUAUUUCAGUUAGUAUUACUGUAGAACUUUCAGGUUCCUGUACCCAUUACCCCUCUUCAUCCGACUUAUCCUUUAUUGUUUUUAUUUUUCUCCUCUCCAUCAUAAUAUUUCUUAUAUGCAAAAGAAAUUUUUGUCUAAUCAUUUGUUCUUAUUGUCAAGACCAAUUAUAUUGUAUGCUGCAAAGGUGAAGUAAUAGAUGUUUGAUCAAUUUUGGCCAAUUAUUGGCAAUUUGUCAAUGCUUAGUUUUUUUUCUGGGUGGGUGUUAAAUUAUCCAUGAUUUUCUUUUUUUUUUUUGGGUGUCUAAGAUGGAAUCAGGAUUUUAAAGGGCUUUUAAUAUGUUGUGUAUCUUAUGUGGGUAUUUUCCCUCAAACUUUACAAGUUAUGUGUCACAUUUCUUGAUAUCUUAAUUGCUUGUUAAACAUCUAAAUGGGUAAGAUUUGUGAUGAUGUCAAUUCAUACUAUCCAAAUUGGACAAGUAGGAUAGAGAAUAAGGGAACUAAAAGUGCUUGCUUCCUAAUAUAAGCACAAAAAAUGUAUUCUAGAUUCCCCAUGCAUGCACUAACUUGUGCACACAGAUACAGACACUUGAAUAGUGGCCUAUAAGUUGAUAAUGUAUUUCUUUGAACUACAAAACGAGUCAUUGAUUUCCAUGCUAGGCAUAAUAGUGCUGGGGUAUAUUUGCUUGCAGUUCAUGCUUUUCCUCAUUCUCCCAUACAUUAACAUUAGCACUUUGAUUGUUUUUUCACUACUUUAUUCUGUUAUUUAACAUCAUUAUCAUGUUCAUCAACUAACUAUGGGUGGUCAUUGACAGAAGACCUUAUUGCAGUCCUGAGGUAGGGAAGGUGUUAUAUAGAACUGUAUAGGAAUCUGUAUUUUUGUGGGCUGACCGAACAUACCUGUGCUAAUCACUUAUCUUAGCUGCAUAAGCUUAGAUUUGUCUGAUUGGUAUUGUUUGGCUGGUUCUAAGGUCUGAGCCAACAAUAUAUAGACCUUUAGGCUUUUGCUACAUUAACGGCACCAUAUUUGAGGACCUAUAGCUAAAAACAAGUAGAGAUGAAAGUAUAUGUUGCAGUUCAGAAAUUAAGUCUUUAAGCCUUUAGCUGUGGUGGGUUUGAGCUGUCAUUUCUUUGUAGUUUCAGGCAUGGACUGGGAGUUUCUGGUCUGAGUUAUAUAUUGCAGGAAAUUAUCAGCAAUUUGAAUAAUAAUAAUUCAUAAUAUUGGCCUGGUCCAUGUCCAGCCCUACUUUCCAACUGUUGUGGAGUUCUUUUAUUUUUAUUUUUUAAAUCAUACCUUUGUAAGUGAAGACAGUUGCAUAUUUACAAAAAAGGCCACUGUCCAUAAUGAGUGGACAGUGGCCUAAUCAAACCUGAAAAUUGAAGUCACUUGUUACUCCUAAAAAAAGUCAUUUUUUGUGUAUCAUGAUUAAUGACAGGAGUCAGAUGAGGUGGUGACUUUAAGGGGCAAUUUGUCAAGUCAUUGCCCUAAUUUGAUUGGCUAGUACGAUCUCCCUUAAGAAUAAUAAUCUUCACCUUGCUUUCAAACAGAAAUAAUUUUCUUUUGACACAUUUUUUCUCGCUUAAAAUAUAAUUUCCAGAUCAGAGGUUAGCAAAACUGGUGGAACAUUAGAACUUUCAGAGAGAAGACCUGAGUUCAAGCCUUUGCCACGCUUGUGAAACCUUGAUUUGAAUUACUUAACAAAAUAUAUAUAUAUAUAUAUAUAUAUGUAUGUAUGUAUAUAAUAUUUUCAAUCCUGGUUACUGUAUAUCCUUGGGGUUCUCUAUAUGUAAACCCUUGUUUAAUAAUCAACUAUCAUUAACAGUUUGGAGUUGAAGAUGGUGUCAAUUUGAGAUUUGUAGUACUACUGAUUUUCAAAUUUGAUGGAUCACCUCAGGCUCUUCUGUGUAUGUAUCAUGGAGGCUGAAUAUAUAUUUUAGGGGCCUGAGAUGCAAAAGAUAAAUUGACGUCAAAAUUUAUAUAAUGUUCUCUGCCCCUGGAUCUUACUAUCGUAAUAUUAUUGAAGUUCUUACACAGAUAAUAUAGUCUACCUACUUUGUUAUGAAAAUAAAUAUAAGAAAAAAAAAUAUUGUAAAGUAAAAUUUUCAUUUAGUUUUAUCUCAUGUGAUAGCCUUCAGUUGAGGAUUUGUGUAAUAUGUAUGCUCCGGAAGCAUCACAGCAUGUGUGUCGACAAGCCUGUCCAACUGAUCGGAAGAGACAAACACUUGUCUUGAGAAAUUUAACUGUUGACAAUUUUGUUGCUCCUUCCUGUUUGCUUUGUUAUUUUAUUUCAUAUGUUUCUGGAGUUAAAAGGCCCCUGCAGCAGAACUGGGUCUGGGAGUUGAUGUGUUCUGUAGAUGAAUAUUACAUGUUUGCUAUAGUUUUCGUACUCUAUCAGCAAUCCUGCAGAGAUUCUUGGAAUAUAUUCUACCUGGAUUGGUGCUUUUUAGUUGGCUUCGGAGCUCAUUAUGGCUUCAGUUUAAACCUCAUCACAUUGCUGCUGGUGCUGCCUACCUUGCUGCCAAGUUUCUAAAUUUGGAUCUUGCUACUUAUCAGAAUAUCUGGCAGGAGUUCCAGACCACACCGGCAAUUCUUCAAGAUGUUUCAGAGCAGUUAAUGGAGCUCUUCUGAUACGAAUAAAACUUUUGUAGUAGUAAAGAAAAAAGGUUUUUCUCCUGCCAGACUUGAAAAUCCUUGCUGUAAAAAAGGGGGAAAGGAGGUGUGAAGAACAGGUGCGGCGUCUUACCAUCCCUGGUGCAGGCAUGGCCGUGCAAAAAGUGAGCCACCCUGGGACGAAUGAUACACUUUUGGAAUGUGGUAAUAUGUGUGCAUUCUUUUACCAAAUCAGGAUACGCUUAUCGGUAGAAUGCAGAAUGUAGAACGAGAAGACUGUCUUAAAAACGAUUGGAUAUGUUGAUGUCUUCUUUCUAAACUGGCUGCUAAGAUAUUUUGUUGUAUGUAUAAACUUGUGGGAGCGUUGACAAAAUUCAAUGAUGAUUCUUUGCCUAA